rnacentral:lncRNA from 1 species
CGGCGUUUACGUGGCGCAGCCUCCGCCCACUCAUGUCGCGACAUGCGUCAAAGUUGUUGGUCUUCUUUUGACCGGCUUUUGUGGCGGCUCCUCGAAGAAGCGAGCCAAACCCACCCUUGCCGCCAAGGAGCCGGAGCAAGAGGUGGACAGUGCAUUCAGGACUGGAGAUUACGGAUCGAUCACUGAGUUGUGUCCCGCUGUAAAUAAGGCGCUGCGAGUGAGUGGGGAUUUUGGUGAUCUCGGAGAUACGUCGCUUGAUGGCGAGGCCGUCAACUUGCGGGGCCGUGAAUCUAAGCGUUGCUGUUUUGCCAUCAAGAAGUUUGACAAAUAUCUGGAAGAACUUGGUGCUAUCCUCCA